UCUAAUUGUUCAGUUCUAGUUCUAGGUUUUUCUCAUGCCACCAGAGAGAUGUACUUGGUGUCUGUGGGUGCUGCUGAGCCAGCAGUCCCUCUCACUCCGCUUCACAGUUUUUCAUGAAGGUUUGUUUUUACUCUGAGCCUCCAUAUUUUCAAUGUGCUUGUCUGCAGGACUCAGGAUCAGCAUUAUGAAGGACUCAUCCUGCCUCAUACCUUCACUGAAUUCAACAUAUUCUUUAUUUGAGGCAAGCACUGAGCUGUCAUGAAGAUGUUGGCAGACACAAACACACAGUGACACACGAACAAGUAAAAAUCCAAUGUUGGCACCACACUCAAGAAAAAGUCACUAAGUUGAAGAACCAUGGACUCACUUUCAGCCCUGGAUUAUUACAAAAGCCUGGAGUUCCUAGGACGAUUUCGGCACUGCUCAGUAUUGUGGAGGAUUCUGUUCAUCAAUGGUCAGUUCAGUCAACAAAGAGAAAGGGCACAGGAGUCCAAGAUGUCUUCUGUUGAAAGGUUUAUUGAAUCUUGGCCAAGGAGCAAAUGGAGGCUUUAUGGCUCUGAACAGUGACACAUCCAUGUCCAUAAAUUUUCAUACUUAAUGCUUCUACAUGAGGUAUUUGCCAUUCGGUCGUUAGUCUACAACAAGGCAAUAUGUUUAUACUUUCAGUGGUCCAACAUUGUUAUAGGUCUCUAUAGAAGUUCUGUUACCUAUCUGCUGUGUCUAUGGAGUGAGACAGCCCUAUUAUCUGACCUUGGUUACUAUAUUGUAAUAAUAAACACAAGCAUACUGUUACAUCCAUGUCUGUGCUGCCCCUGUUGUUGCUCUCUUCCUCUCCUUCAGUGUUUCUCCCUCCCUCCUAGGAGCAGGUCCCAGUUGCAGGCAGCUGCUGCAGCAUACACCUGAACCUCAUCUGGUCAUUACUCCUUCUGCUGAAAUACACAGAUCACCAACCCCUGCUCAACAGCUGCCAGCUUGGUCCGAUUACCACCUGUUGUCACACAUGGAGCUGUUCUGUGUCUCAAACAUACAUAUUGAACUUGUGUAACCCCAUAUGUGGCACCCUAACCCCUAAAAUACACUGCAUGCGGAACGGCUGCAGAACGGCUCCGCUCCGGAACGGCUGCGUACUCCGGCUUCCGCCAACUCACACAUGAUCCCAUAGACAUAUAUACGUAUACACCGCAUUGAGCGCUAAAUCAUACGUCGACGUCACCGCAAUGUUGGAUGUGGCAAAGUGGAGCACAGCCCUUAAGUUGCAGAGUGGCAACACACGGAAAAAGCUGUGCAAGAGUAUUCUUUUCCAAGGUUUUUAACUUGGAAACACACACAGACUGCAGUUGUAUAGCUGUAUAGAUAUGUAUGUUCAUCAGUGCUCCCCGUGUAUAUAUUUUCAUCAAUGUGCACCCCCCUCCGUGUGUAUUUUUGAUAUAUUCACACUGUUUAUACUGCUAUAUCUACACUGUGAAUAUCUUUUUAUGUUUGUCAUAUUAGGGCUGUCAAAAAAUUUACUAAUUCAUCGCAAAAAAUUAUGUAAUUAAUCGCGAUUAAUCGCAUUGUUUAACAUGGCACCAAUAAAGUGCUGCAGUGUUACAGAAGUGUCUCAGCUCUGCUCCCUGGAGGAGGAUGUUUUACUUUGACUGACUGGAUUCUCUAUGCCAUUUCUGUGUGUGACUACUCGCCCAUGUCAGAAGUACACAAACCUAACAUUAACAAAGUCAAAUGCUCAAUGAUGGAUGCAUGUAUCUUUACAUGGUGUUUUACCUGUGUCUCGUCAUCUUGCCUUCACUUCUGCAUUUAGUUUUUGUGUUUCUUGGCAUUACAAUUCUGUGUAAAAUUCUGUGUCAGGUUCAACGUCUGUUGUUCUCAGUUCUGGAUUUCACUUUGUAUGGAUUUCUCUUGAUUGGACUUGACUUGGAUUGUUGGACUUCCUCAGCUGCCUUUUGUAGUUUUGUUUUUGUCAACCUGCUCUUUAAGUCAUCAAAGUUACC